AUUGAACGCUGGCGGCAUGCUUUACACAUGCAAGUCGAACGGUAACAGGCCUUCGGGUGCUGACGAGUGGCGAACGGGUGAGUAAUGCAUCGGAACGUACCCAGAGGUGGGGGAUAACGCAGCGAAAGCUGUGCUAAUACCGCAUGUGAUCUGAGGAUGAAAGCGGGGGACCGAGCAGCAAUGUUUGGCCUCGCGCCUUUGGAGCGGCCGAUGUCGGAUUAGCUAGUUGGUGGGGUAAAGGCCUACCAAGGCGACGAUCCGUAGCUGGUCUGAGAGGACGACGAGCGACACUGGGACUGAGACACGGCCCAGACUCCUACGGGAGGCAGCAGUGGGGAAUUUUGGACACUGGGCGCAAGACUGAUCCAGCAAUGCCGCGUGCGGGAAGAAGGCCUUCGGGUUGUAAACCGCUUUUGGCAGGAACGAAACGGUGUCCGCUAAUACCGGGCGCUAAUGACGGUACCUGCAGAAUAAGCACCGGCUAACUACGUG
rnacentral:rRNA from 1 species